rnacentral:lncRNA from 1 species
CUGGCAUGAAGAUAGAAAUCCGGUCUCUGAGGAACAAGUGCUGGUGGAGACAGUUCACAUGAAAUUGUUUCCAGCAGGUGCUAGUGAAAAUGACACAUCUUUGUACUAGUUCAAGACUUCUGCAGAUCACUUCUCAAUCAUCUACCACAAUAAACAGGAACACUGAGCCUCAAGGUCCAGUCCCAAUAAAUAUGUUACAGUUCCCACCAAAAGUCAGAAUAAAACACCCUUCCAGCACCACAUGGCCAAAAGCGCCUUGAAGAACCUGGGCAGCCAAGUGGAAGAAGAACACAUCAUAUAGAGUUCAGUAGCUCCUUGACCAGCAAAUCAAGAAAGGAAGAUCAUUCUGCAAACUGUUUUGGAUGUACAGUUGAGUAAAUUAUUGAAACUGAGAGUAAAGAACCAGAACAAAGGAAGAACGAUCCUAGCAUAAACAGACUCGGGAAGGAAACAGUGGCAGCAAAG